rnacentral:rRNA from 1 species
UCCCGNCUGCCCAGUGACUCUUUAAACGGCCGCGGUAUCCUAACCGUGCAAAGGUAGCAUAAUCACUUGUCCCCUAAAUAGGGACUAGAAUGAACGGCUAAAUGAGGACAAAACUGUCUCUUACGGACCAACCAAUGAAAUUGAUCUUCCAGUACAAAAGCUGGAAUAAACCCACAAGACGAGAAGACCCUGUGGAGCUUUAAAACCAAAACCACCAAACAUGCUUCUUGGUUUUUUAGUUGGGGCGACUUUGGAGAAAAAACUAACCUCCAAAAAAUAAACCCAUUUAUUAAGAAUAAUACACCAAAAAUAAUUAAAUAGACCCAGCAACAUUUUCAUGUUGUCUGACCAAUAAACCAAGUUACCCCAGGGAUAACAGCGCCAUCCUCUUCUAGAGUCCCUAUCGACAAGAGGGUUUACGACCUCGAUGUUGGAUCAGGACACCCCUAUAGUGCAGCCGCUAUAAACGGUUCGUUUGUUCAACGAUUAAAGUCCUACGUGAUCU